UCGUCCCUACGGGAGGCAGCAGUGGGGAAUAUUGCACAAUGGGGGGAACCCUGAUGCAGCGACGCCGCGUGAGGGAAGAAGGUUUUUGGAUUGUAAACCUCUGUCCUUGGUAAAGAAGCAAGACGGUAGCCAAGGAGGAAGCCACGGCUAACUACGUGCCAGCAGCCGCGGUAAUACGGAGGAUGCGAGCGUUAUCCGGAUUUAUUGGGUUUAAAGGGUGCGCAGGCGGAAGAUCAAGUCAGCGGUAAAAUUGAGAGGCUCAACCUCUUCGAGCCGUUGAAACUGGUUUUCUUGAGUGAGUGAGA
rnacentral:rRNA from 1 species